UACGUAGGGUGCGAGCGUUGUCCGGAUUUAUUGGGCGUAAAGGGCGCGUAGGCGGCCCGGCACGUCCGUUGUGAAAUCGCCCGGCUCAACUGGGCGGGGUCAGCGGAUACGGCCGAGCUUGAGCAAGCUAGGGGGCAAUGGAAUUCCCGGUGUAGUGGUGGAAUGCGUAGAUAUCGGGAGGAACACCAGUGGCGAAGGCGGUUGCCUGGAGCUUUACUGACGCUGAUGCGCGAAAGCGUGGGGAGCGAGCCGG
rnacentral:rRNA from 1 species